rnacentral:rRNA from 1 species
AUUCCAGCUCCAAUAGCGUAUAUUAAAGUUGUUGCAGUUAAAAAGCUCGUAGUUGGAUUUCUGACAGGGGGCCGAACACCACUGUAGUGAGUGUUUUGGUACCUGUCAUCCUUCUGUUAACCCUAGCGUCAUUCAUUUGUCGUUGGGCGGACCAGAUACUUUACCUUGAGAAAAUUAGAGUGUUUCAGGCAGGCCUAGCCGGAAUACAUUAGCAUGGAAUAAUGGAAUAGGACUAUAGUCUCGUCGUUGGUUACGUGGACUGCAGUAAUGAUUAAUAGGAGCAGUUGGGGGUAUUCGUAUUCAAUUGUCAGAGGUGAAAUUCUUGGAUUUAUAGAAGACGAACUACUGCGAAAGCAUUUACCAAGGAUGUUUUCAUCA